rnacentral:rRNA from 1 species
AACGAACGCUGGCGGUAGGCCUAACACAUGCAAGUCGAACGGCAGCACCGUAAGAGCUUGCUCUUACGGGUGGCGAGUGGCGGACCGUUGCGGUAUACAUCGGAAUCCACUUUUUCGUGGGUGAUAACGCAGGGAAACUUCCUCUAAUCCCACAUACGACCUACUGGUGUAAGCACGGGUUCUUCUGACCUUGCGCUAUUGUAUGAGCCUAUGUCGGAUUAGCUAGUUGGCUGGGUAAAGGCACAUCAAGGCGACGAUGCGUAGCUGGUACGACGGCGUGUACAGCCACACUGGAACUGAGACACGGUACACACUCCUGCGGGAGGCAGCGGUGGGGAAUAUUACGCAAUGGGGGAAAGGCGGAUAUAGGACUACCGGGUGGGUGAUGAAGGCGUUCGGGCUGGAAAGCCAUGUUGUUGGGAAAGAAAAGCAGCAGGUUAAUACCCGGCGGUUCUGACGGUACCGAAAGAAUAAGCACCGGCUAACUUCGUG